rnacentral:rRNA from 1 species
GCAUGGGCGUUCUUAGUUCGUGGAGUGAUCUGUCUGCUUAAUUGCGUUUCAAAUUUUAUAUUUGUUAACAUGCGAGUCUUCAAUGACGGCCACUCCACCUUAUAGACAUUAUAUGAUAUGCACAUUUGUGUAUUUGAUUAUAACUUGUCUGGAGUCUGGCUCGAUUUUUUUGACUCAAUUGAACGCAACGGACGUGAUUGCAAGUCCUUGUUGAACAAAUUAUAUAUAUACUACUUCAUCAUUAGUAUAUAUAGUUCGCUUCUCAUGUCGUAGCAGUCAAACGGGCGGGCGUCUUAAUUGGCGCGGUCACGAGGCUUAAUAUGCUGCGGCUGGGAAAACUUGGGCGACCGCUGUAAUACUUCUCUCUUAAACCAGAGGAAGAUUGCGGCAAUAACAGGUCUGUGAUGCCCUCAGAUGUCCCGGGCCGCACACGUGCUACAUUGAUUAGCGCAGUGCGCAUACUUACAUAUAGAUCAUUGAUUGGUUAUUUAUAACCGUCAAUAUCGCCUUGUCUGAAAGGACUAGGUAAUCUAUUGUAAGUGCUGGUUCCUCCUCCCGUUGAGCAUUUUAAUAAUGGUCUCUCUACAUCCCUAGCACAUGAUGUCUAGUGCGAUUGUAGUUGAGUUCUGCCAUUUAUGCAAGUGUCAAUUCUCA